GCAAACUUGGUCAUUUAGAGGAAGUAAAAGUCGUAACAAGGUUUCCGUAGGUGAGUAAUUGUGUUUUCCUUACCCUGCUCCCUAUUAUUUUUAAAUGUCUUCUUUUACUAACUUUUUGUCUUAUAGGUGAACCUGCGGAAGGAUCAUUAACGAGUUAGGGUUCCGCUUCAAGGGCCCGACCUCCCAACCCUUUGUCUACCGAACCUAUAUUACGAAAACGCUGUCGGCGGGUUUACGCCCGCCGGUGGCGGAUUCUAAAAACUCUUGUGACCAGUUAAUAAUCUUAACUAGUAAAAACUUUCAACAACGGAUCUCUUGGUUCUGGCAUCGAUGAAGAACGCAGC
rnacentral:misc_RNA from 1 species